GCUGCCAUAAAAUGCAAAAAAAAAAAAACAUCUCUUUUUAAUAAAAUUCUGUUUACCUCCUGCGGUCUGUGGGCUGUAUAGUGCUGCGAUUUGUAAUUAAGCCGCAAUCUAUAAAUAAUAAACCUAAUUUACAUUUGUGCUGUAUAGAAUCGCAGCGACUUCCACAGAUUUUACCGCUGAUAUUUCCUGGUUAGUAAAUAAGAUGUCGGAAUGAAAUGAGUUAAUUCACCCCACGCUGUUUAGUCUCAUCUAAUUCUGAAUGCAAUCUUACAAACCCAGGACUUGUGAUGUUACAGCGAUAAUUAAUGUGGAUUUUUGUCAGCUGUAGGAUGACUCAAAGUGAGCAUGUGAUAAAGAGAUGCUCUGACAAAAGCGUGACACACAUGCAAUGGAUUCAUAUCAAGUUAUGCUCUAUUUUCAGUGAAUGACACCUUUAAUUGAUGCAGCGACUGGGGACUCAUGUACUGCAGAUGGGUGUGAAAAUACAGAGGGAUUGAGAAAGAGGGAGAAGCAAGAGCUCUGCAAGUGUCUCCUGUUCACAUCCGUCAAGUGGUAUUUGGACAACACCCGUCCAGGAGAGCAAGAUUGUGUGCUUCACUAGACAAGAUUCAUCUUGCACUUGUGGAAUCUGACUAAGUCUCUGCUCCCACAGUCCUGCCUCCGCUUUGGCUUUCCAACAUCCAAACACGCAGGACUGCCUCAUCACCUGUCGUUCUGCUUUUACUUUCUGGCUGUGCUGGCACUUUUGCACAUUCACUGCCAAGAACAGCAGCACUUUUACCUGUUAUUUCAUUUAUUUUUAUUUUAUUGCACCCACUCAGAUAAAGCAUUGCAAUGUAAAAG
rnacentral:lncRNA from 12 species